GUCUGACAGUUACUGAGCUGUGUCUUCCAGCAGCUCAGGAGUGUUAGACAACGAAGGCUACUACUAGCAUUGCAGGGAUGAGGCUUCCAGAAGCAGCAAGGAGAAACCUGUGCCUGAGCCUGAGAGAGUGAAGAGACAGCUGGGCCUAUGAACUUCAAUUCAUCAGCCACCUACAUAGUAGGUACAGGAACUCAUGGACUCAAUAUAAACAUUGGAUUUAUGGCACACUACCUGCCGGACAUCUGACUCCCCAGGCAGUCUGGGAAGAACAUGGCCUGUACUUCUCAGCCAGUGAGUCAGUGCUUUGCGUAUGGUGCAGCCUUCACCCCUCCCCACCACUUCACACCCACACAAAGGCUAGUCAUACCAUGGCUUGAGUUAAAAAUGGAGAAGUCUCUGAUAACAAAAAACAUUUUGCUCUGCUGCAACUUGUGUCCUUUUGUCUGUCAUUCACUCAGUCCUGUUGUGUAGUAAUGACAAGAUCUAGAAAGCAGACACUUGGAUUGUGGCUAUUGCUCACCCUCAAUAAA